CUGCCUUAAGGAUUGGGACAACAGUGGGAAACCGCUGCUAAUACCAAAUAUGCCUUUUAGUGAAACGGGUAAAACCGCCUUAAGAUGAGCUCGCGUCUGAUUAGCUAGUAGGUGUGGUAAGAGCGCACCUAGGCGACGAUCAGUAGCUGGUCUGAGAGGACGACCAGCCACACUGGGACUGAGACACGGCCCAGACUCCUACGGGAGGCAGCAGUGAGGAAUUUUCCGCAAUGGGCGAAAGCCUGACGGAGCAAUACCGCGUGAGGGAGGAAGGUUCUUGGAUUGUAAACCUCUUUUCUCAGAGAAGAAUAAUGACGGUAUCUGAGGAAUAAGCAUCGGCUAACUCCGUGCCCGCAGCCGCGGUAAUACGGAGGAUGCAAGCGUUAUCCGGAAUGAUUGGGCGUAAAGGGUCUGUAGGUGGUUGUUCAAGUCUGCUGUUAAAGCGUCUGGCUUAACCAGAUAAAGGCGGUGGAAACUGAACGACUAGAGUGCGGUAGGGGUAGAGGGAAU
rnacentral:rRNA from 1 species